rnacentral:rRNA from 1 species
CCCUUAGAUGUCCUGGGCUGCACGCGCGCUACACUGAUGUGUCCAGUAAGCACCUAACCUCUUCCGAAAGGAACGGGUAACCUUUGCAAAGCACAUCGUGAUGGGGAUAGAUUAUUGCAAUUAUUAGUCUUGAACGAGGAAUUCCUAGUAAGCACAAGUCAUCAGCUUGUGUUGAUUACGUCCCUGCCCUUUGUACACACCGCCCGUCGCUCCUACCGAUUGAAUGUUCCGGUGAGCUCUUCGGACUGCGCGGCCUGCAGUUUCUGCGUUCCGUGCGGAAGGUUGCGCAAACCUUAACAUUUAGAGGAAGGAGAAGUCGUAACA